rnacentral:rRNA from 1 species
AGUGAACGCUGGCGGUAGGCCUAACACAUGCAAGUCGAACGGCAGCACAGUAAGAGCUUGCUCUUACGGGUGGCGAGUGGCGGACGGGUGAGGAAUACAUCGGAAUCUACUUUUUCGUGGGGGAUAACGUAGGGAAACUUACGCUAAUACCGCAUACGACCUACGGGUGAAAGCAGGGGAUCUUCGGACCUUGCGCGAUUGAAUGAGCCGAUGUCGGAUUAGCUAGUUGGCGGGGUAAAGGCCCACCAAGGCGACGAUCCGUAGCUGGUCUGAGAGGAUGAUCAGCCACACUGGAACUGAGACACGGUCCAGACUCCUACGGGCGGCAGCAGUGGGGAAUAUUGGACAAUGGGCGCAAGCCUGAUCCAGCCAUACCGCGUGGGUGAAGAAGGCCUUCGGGUUGUAAAGCCCUUUUGUUGGGAAAGAAAAGCAGCAGGUUAAUACCCCGCUGUUCUGACGGUACCCGAAGAAUAAGCACCGGCUAACUUCGUG